GUCGAGACGUCCACAGGAGCCAAGGAGCUCUCUUACUCAAAACCCUAACUUGCUCAAAUUGAUCAAAUCAAGAAAGCAAUUCAAGUUUAAAUAAAAAACCGAGCUCAAAUUAGUGAUCACCCGAGUGAAGGGAUCACAAGGCAAAAGGAGUUGAAUCCUCAAGCGGACAAGUCGGAGUGGAUACGCGCUUUUAGGAGAAGCACUAAAGGUGAUGAUAGUAUGCUUCCGGAUGGCGAUCAAGCAACGGACAAGAACCGAACACACAUCCGAACAAAGCUUCCGCGUUAAUUCAUUUUGUUUUAGUUAAAUGUGAAACAUGUAAACACCUGAUGCUACAUUUUGAAUGUUUUAAACUAGUACGGAUGUUAACUCGAAUACUUUAAUCAUGAAUGAACGUUAA